rnacentral:tRNA from 1 species
GCCCUCGUGGUAUAACUUGGAUAGCAUGCGAGCUUGCGGAGCUUGAGAUUAGGGUUCAAAUCCCUACGAGGGCGC